UUUUUCGUAAACAAUAAACAUAAUCAAUUAAAACCGUCGAGAGUAUGUUGAUGUCUCGUUGUGUACUAUCUAAUUCGUCAUUCUGGAUUGUAGAUCACAAAAACGAAAUAUGACUUAAAACUAAACCGUAAGUGUAAAUCAAGCGCGUAAAACGACAGCGGUGGAAAAAUCGAUCCCAUUUAUACACAGUCAAGAUUCACUGCUCACACUAAUACAAUUAAAAAUCAUUCGAGUACUGUUAAAAUAUAAACCUGCACAAUGACUAUUUCCAGUAUAGAAAUGCACAAUUGUGUAAUUCGUCAUUUGGAAAAUUCUCAUAUUAAAAUAUCGCCUGAGAACGAAUGGUUUAAGCAAUGUGUGGAUUUCUUCAUGUCAGAUAAUCCAAAUUGUGAUGCAAAAGAUUUAUCUUCUAUGGUAAUUGAACAAUUAAGUUUAUCUGAUUUUCAAGAAAUUGCAUUGUUUAGUUUACCAGCCAAUUUGAAUAAUUGUGACAAAAAAAUUUUAAGCGGAAAAUACUGUCUUCAGGUAAAUACUAUUCUUGAUGUUGGCCAAUCAUGUUAUUCACAAUAUAAUAUAAUAGUAAAAAGAGACACUAGUAAUACUGAAAUUGGUGAUAAUAAACCAGCUCCUUGGGAACCUAAAUCACAUAGAAUGUUAAAAAUGAUGUGUUCUGAUGGUCAACAGGAUAUAGUGGCUAUGGAAUAUGAGCCAUUGCAUUGUCUUAAAGAGCCAUUUAUCCCUGGCUUCAAAAUUGUAGUUAUUGGACCAGUCGAAUAUAGGAAAGGAGUGUUACUAUUAAAAUCUAGUAAUGUGCAUUUCAUUGGAGGUGAGGUUGAACAUUUGUUAAUAAAAAAUGCACCAUUAAACGUUUUGUGUAGAGCCCUAAACAAACCUGAAUUAGAAAAUCCGUACAUGUUUUCAAAUAUUGAAGUUGAAAAUACUGUUACGGACGUACAGGAACCACUUGAUAUUGCACCAAGACAAAUAGAAAAUGUUUCUUUAACUGGUAUACAAGAACAAGACCCUGGAAUUCUCUCAACUUGUACAAAUCAAAGUAAUGAUAACAAUCGUGUUGGAAAUGGAGUUAUUACAUAUGAUGAUUUUUUUGAUGGUGAUGAUGACGAUUUAUUAUAUUUGACUCAAGUGGCUGAAAUUGAAACAAGACUCACUCAAUCUAAUAAUGUAAAUUCUGUACCAUUACAAACAUUUAAUACACAUCAACAAAAUACAAAAGUCAACAAAACAAAAAUAUCAGCUCCUAAAAAUAACAAAAUAAUAACAAAUAAGAAGCCACUAGUCACUGAGAAACAGACUAAAAUAUCUGAUAUGUUAGGUCCAAGUACAUCAUCGACAUCUAGUAGAAAUUCAUUUGCUGAAUCUACUAGGCGUCAAAAUGAGAAUAUAAUAGACAACAAUAGUAUACCUGUUAAACAUGCGUCAGGAAAACGUAUCGCUAGUUCACCAGUAUACACAGAAACUAAAAGGCCAUCAAUUGAACUGCACACUCUGGAUGAUGAUUGGGGUGAUAUUGAUAUGGAUAUUGAUGUUUCAAACCCAUUGAUUAAGGUUCUAAAUUCUGCUUCUAUUGUUAAGAACUCAAAAAUACAAGUAAAACAAAAUGAAUGGAUAUGUUCUGGUAUUGUGAUGGAUGAAUCAAAACAUGAAGAAGUUGAGUUCUCAUCAGAAGUAUUGGAGCAAUUAAUUGGAAUUUCAUCCGAAGAAGUUCUUCAAUUAAAAAACAAUCCUUUAAACUGUGCUCCGCUAAAAGAAAAAAUUGAAAAAGGAAUUAAAGGGGCAUAUAGAAAAUUGCACUUAUUCAAAGGGCUUCAACAACCUUGUCGAACCUUGGUAUAAAGUUUAACACAUCGAACAGCUUACUAGAAACACAGCGUUUCUUAUACUUAUGCGCUGUUUUGUGUAGAUAAUUCGACGUGUACUUACCCAAAAAUGAGCAAACACAUUGAUAUCGAAUAUUUUCUUUAUGGUGGCUUCGUCGUGAGCCUCAAGAGGUUUACAUGGCAUAAUUCCUGCAUUAUUAACCAGAAUAGUAACAGUACCAACUUCGCUCUUGACCUUCUCACCAAGCUCUCUAACUUUUUCCAACGUCGACACAUCGCAUCUGAAAACCCAGUUACAAAAUUACAUUUACUACAGUUGUUUUGUGUACCCAACAAUUUUAAAUGAAUAAAAAUAAUUUGUUUGAAGAAAUAUUAGACAACACUUGCAUAUGGAUGAAGCUAGGGGAAGAGGACAUAAAAAACAUUCCGAAAGUCUUUUCAGAUAUCGUUUUCAAAUAAACAGAGGCGCCAUUCAAAACAAAUACAAAAUAAAUUGUUGUAAUAUAUAGAUAUUAACUAUAAUAUUAUAAGUCUUAAUUUGA